rnacentral:lncRNA from 1 species
AGAUUUGGGGGAUGAGUUUUUAACUCAAUGCUCUCAUUCAAACCCUAAAUCCCCAACCCCAACCUAGCCCCUAGACCCAACCUUCAGCCAAUCCAAUCCGACGGCCUCCCGAUGUGAAUCUCCCUUCGGCGCCAACAAACCCCAAAUUCAAUUUGGUUUGAAAUUUGCUCUCAAAAUUGAAAGUAUGUUAUCAUAUUCCCAAUCUUUUUAUGAUUUUCUUUGAUGAGAUUGAUUAAUAUGUUGAUUAGUUUGAAUGAAUUAGAGUUUUUAAUUAAUAAAAAUAUGUUAGUUUGUAUGUCUAAUAUGAUGGGUUUUAUAUUUUCCCUCAUAUUGAAAGUAUGUUAUCCUAAUUUCUAAUCUCUUUAUUAUGCUUUAAUUGAUUAAUAAAUAUUCUUGUACGUUUUUAUUCUUCUUGAUUAGUUGUUGUUGUUGAUUGCAUUUAUUAGAAAUUUUUGAUUAUAUUGUUUUUUUUUGUGUGUUUGUUAAUUAAUGGAGAUUCUUGUAUAAAUUGGUUUAAUUUAUUAGUUGUUGCUGUUUAUUGAAUAAAUUGAAUAAAUUGAAUUAUUUUUGUGUUUGUUAAUUAAUGAAGAUUCUUAUAUAUUUUGGUUAGUUAGAAUAAAUGUUGGCAAUUUGGAUUAUUAAUUAGUUCAUAUUUUUUUUAAUAGAAAGUUAUGGAACGAUACUUUAAGAGAGAGCUAUGGUGAUAGUCAUGAUAAAAUAGUGGGAGUAGAAGUGGUGAAAUCAUAUAUACUGAGAAUAAAAAUAAUAUAUCUAUCAAAAUCUCUGGGGGAAACAAAGAUUUGUCAUGGCCUAAAAAUAGUCUAUUAUCAAAUGAAAUCCACCACUUUUCGUAUUUCCUUUAAAAUCAAUGAAUUUUUUAAUACACCCAAACUUUUAUAAAUUCUUUUAAAGUCAUGAUUGAAUACAUCUAAAUUUGAAUGGAGUUUAAAAAGUCUAAAUUGAAUAGACUUUUAUAAAAUCAUGAUUGAAUACACCUAAACUUUUAAACUUCUUUAAAAUCUUUUAAAAUCUAAAUUAAAUACACCCCCUAAAUGUCGUAUUGCUAUAUAUUUUAGUGUUAAAGCUUGUCAAGGUCUACAAAAAGUAUACGGUCCACUCAUCUCAUAUUCCCAAUAUAUAGAUUAAAAUUGUUUUGGCAUGUUGCCAUUUGUAGGACCUAUAAUGCGCUAAAAUUGGACAAAAUGAAGCUCUUGUUGUGGAGGAGAACCAUUCAACAUCGCUUGGUAAAGUGACAAGUUUGAAUUGACUUCAACUGGGAUCAUGAAAUGUAUCAUCUUCCACCAAAUGAAUAAUAAUGACGAUGCAGCUAGGUAUUUUAAUUAAAUUCUAUUUUCUUUUAUGCAAGUGAAUAUUUGGGAGGGGAGAAUCAAAUCUAUAACCUUGGAUGUAGGAAUAACUGCUUUUAACCACUUAAGCUGCAAGACCCUUACUUUAAUUAAAUUCUUAUGUUCUUUUAUACAAUUGAUAUUGAGAAAAUGAGGGAUCAAAUUU